UCGGAGCUGAUAAUCCCAGGGAAGGUAUGUUUUUUUUUGAAAAUAUUAAAGCCUAAAAUAACACGGUGUCGAUAACCUCAGAAGAGGCGCCAUCGGAACGGCCGUUGGAGCCACAACGGCAACCUAGAUGGCGUCCACUCCCGUUCUGCACCACCGCCGUUGGUGCCGGCGGUUGCUAUCUCCCCUCCGUCUCGGGUGGGCAGCCUCCAGAGCUCGCCCUCUCAUCCGCGCCCCCUCAAACCUCAUCUCCUCGCAGGAAGCCACCAGAAUAAUAAAAAGUUCCUUAUGCAACAUGAUAGAUGGGAACUGAUGCAUAGGGAGGCUGGUGCAAUUUCUAAGGGAUUGGUCAAAUGAUGAUGUGCUACGCCAAUGCCAUGAUGGUGCAAUGGAACUUUGCAUGUGAUAGUGUGCACCCUUCAGCAUCUUUGUUUGAGAUAUUGGUUUUAUGCUCACUUUCACUAGUUCAGUUUUUUCCCCUGUUUCUACAUAUCCAGUUUUCAGUUUUUCUUAAUUUUUCAUUUUUUAUUUUGUAAUCUGUUUUUGUGGUACUUCUUUGUAAUUUCAUUUAUUCUUGUCUUAUGAAAGAGUAAAGCUGUGGGAUUCUGUGCUCUGUCAUAGAAAAAGUUCCAUAUGCGACAUGGUAGAGGGAAAUUGAUGCAA